rnacentral:lncRNA from 1 species
AACAACUCCCAAUUUGGUAAUAUAAUCAGAGCACGCUGCUGCGUUAAAGUCCGUGAGUUCCAAAAACAGCUCCUGAACUCGUGCCAAAAACACUUAAUAACUAUACUGUCCAACGUAGCAUCCGCUAGUGCUCCUGAAUUCCAGAAAUAACAAACUCUUGCUUCAGGCUUCAUCCUUAGCCUUUUUUCGAAUUGAAUUUGUUUUUGACCCAUUCGUCGCUUCCAUUGUUUGUAGAAUACUGCAAAAAAGAAAAAACAUUUAGUGAAA